rnacentral:sRNA from 1 species
GAAGGAGGCGACAGCGCCGGAGCAGAAUGAGCUGCAAUUUAUAGACUGAAAAGACAAAGGGAUUCCUUUUUCACCAAAUCAAAAAACACAUUAUAAUUAAUGGCUGCAGUUGACUAUUACAGGAUGUGGUUUCCUGCAACAUGCCUGAUUUUGAAGAAGGGUGAUCUACACACUGGGAAUGAAGCCACAGAGCAUGUAUGUUACAUGUAGCUGCUGGCUAUAUAUGUCCACGUCAGCCACACACUCCCUUCUGCUCCUCAGAACCUUAAAUUUCUCCUCAUGGCUGGGGAACAGUGAUGUGCUCCAGGGCUCCAAGCAAUGGAUUCCUCAGCAGACAUUGCUCUGUGA